UGCCAGCAGCCGCGGUAAUACGUACCGGACGAACGUUAUUCGGAAUCACUGGGCUUAAAGAGUGCGUAGGCGGCCUAGAAGGUGGGGUGUGAAAGCCCACGGCUCAACCGUGGAACUGCGCUCCAAACCACUAGGCUUGAGGAAGACAGGGGUGAGCGGAACUGAUGGUGGAGCGGUGAAAUGCGUUGAUAUCAUCAGGAACACCGGUGGCGAAGGCGGCCCACUGGGUCUUUUCUGACGCUGAGGUACGAAAGCUAGGGUAGCGAACGGGAUUAGAUA
rnacentral:rRNA from 1 species